UACCCCCUUUUCACUUUGCUGAUUGGACUUGUGUCUUUACUGGUCAUUCAAGUGGAACAAAGGAAAUAUUUAAAACUCAAGCCAACUGAGAGCUUGUCUUAUAACUUGUCAGAGGAAACAAAU
ensembl:snoRNA